GGAGGGUCCAAGCGUUGUUCGGAAUCAUUGGGCGUAAAGCGCGUGUAGGCGGUCGGGUAAGUCGGAUGUGAAAGCCCGGGGCUCAACCCCGGAAUUGCACUCGAUACUGCCUGGCUAGAGUCCCGGAGAGGAUGGCGGAAUUCCCGGUGUAGAGGUGAAAUUCGUAGAUAUCGGGAGGAACACCAGUGGCGAAGGCGGCCAUCUGGACGGUGACUGACGCUGAGACGCGAAAGCGUGGGGAGCAAACAGGAUUAGAUACCCUGGUAGUCCACGCCGUAAACGUUGGGUGCUAGACGCUGGGGGUAUUGACCCCCCCCUCGGUGUCGAAGCUAACGCAUUAAGCACCCCCGCCUGGGGAGUACGGUCGCAAGGCUA
rnacentral:rRNA from 1 species